rnacentral:lncRNA from 10 species
UUUCUAUUUCACCUAUGAUGAAUAUGAUCCUCAGUCGGCCAAGGUCACAAAGCUUUUAAGAGGGUAUGUGAAAGCUUGCGUACAAAAAGAAGGGGCAACAACUAUACAGGAAGGAGAACAGGAGAUCAAAUAUGAUAUCAGGAAAUACAGAAGACUAAAUAUACCCAUUGUUCCUGCUGCGAAAAAGAUGGAAUAUGAUUAAGCU